UACGUAGGGAGCAAGCGUUGUCCGGAAUCAUUGGGCGUAAAGCGCGCGUAGGCGGCCUCGUAAGUCCGUUGUGAAAGUCAAAGGCUCAACCUUUGAAAGCCGAUGGAUACUGUGAGGCUAGAGUCCGGAGGAGGCGAGUGGAAUUCCUGGUGUAGCGGUGGAAUGCGCAGAUAUCAGGAGGAACACCAAUAGCGAAGGCAGCUCGCUGGGACGUUACUGACGCUGAGACGCGAAAGCGUGGGGAGCGAACAGG
rnacentral:rRNA from 1 species